rnacentral:rRNA from 1 species
CCUACGGGUUGCAGCAGUAGGGAAUCUUCCGCAAUGACGAAAGUCUGACGGAGCAACGCCGCGUGAGUGAUGAAGGCUUUCGGGUCGUAAAACUCUGUUGUUGGGAAGAACAAGUGCUAGUUGAAUAAGCUGGCACCUUGACGGUACCUAACCAGAAAGCCACGGCUAACUACGUGCCAGCAGCCGCGGUAAUACGUAGGUGGCAAGCGUUAUCCGGAAUUAUUGGGCGUAAAGCGCGCGCAGGUGGUUUCUUAAGUCUGAUGUGAAAGCCCACGGCUCAACCGUGGAGGGUCAUUGGAAACUGGGAGACCUGAGUGCAGAAGAGGAAAGUGGAAUUCCAUGUGUAGCGGUGAAAUGCGUAGAGAUAUGGAGGAACACCAGUGGCGAAGGCGACUUUCUGGUCUGUAACUGACACUGAGGCGCGAAAGCGUGGGGAGCAAACGGGAUUAGAUACCCUCGUAGUC